rnacentral:rRNA from 1 species
ACAUUAGCAUGGGAUAAUGGAAUAGGACCCUGUCCUCCUAUUUUCAGUUGGUUUUGGCAGCGCGAGGACUAGGGUAAUGAUUAAUAGGGAUAGUUGGGGGCAUUAAUAUUUAAUUGUCAGAGGUGAAAUUCUUGGAUUUAUGAAAGAUUAACUUCUGCGAAAGCAUCUGCCAAGGAUGUUUUCAUUAAUCAAGAACGAAAGUUAGGGGAUCGAAGACGAUCAGAUACCGUCGUAGUCUUAACCAUAAACGAUGCCGACCAGCGAUUAGGAGACGUUGAAUACAAAACACCACCAUCGGCGCGGUCGUCCUUGGCGUCUGUCCCUUUCAACGGGGGCAUGGCGCGAGGGCGGUUUAGCCCGGUGGCACCG